UACGGGGGGGCAAGCGUUGUUCGGAAUUACUGGGCGUAAAGGGCGCGUAGGCGGCCUGCUAAGUCGGAUGUGAAAUCCCUCGGCUCAACCGAGGAACUGCAUCCGAUACUGGCGGGCUUGAAUCCGGGAGAGGGAUGUGGAAUUCCAGGUGUAGCGGUGAAAUGCGUAGAUAUCUGGAGGAACACCGGUGGCGAAGGCGGCAUCCUGGACCGGUAUUGACACUGAUGAGCGAAAGCCAGGGGAGCAAACGGG
rnacentral:rRNA from 1 species